AGAGAGAGAGAGAGAGAGAGAGAGAGAGAGAGACAUACACAACGAGCCUAGGCCGGCAAAACAGACUGAGACGUUACAACUCCACAACCACGUCUUCGGCCGCGACCACAGGAAAUGAGAAGCGGGACGACAGAAUUGCAAGGCUGCCACAUGCAGGUGGAAGGACAGCUAUAUUCACUCGGGAGCAAGAGGCCGUUAUAGUUGGCAUGGUCCUUCAAGAUAAUGCAAUACAACUCAGGAACGAGUGAUACAAGACAACACACACUUCCAGGGAAUCGACAGUGUGAGCAUUUCCACCAUUGACCGUGUCCUCCAUCGUAACAGGAUGCGAAGGAAACAAGUAUACAGAGUACCUUUUGAGCACAACUCACCAAGGGUGAAAGAACUGCGAGCUCAGUAUGUGCAAACAAUAUUUGACUUGGAAUCCUUGGACAGACCCCAUGAGUUCAUCUUUGUCGGUGAAGCAGGCUUCAAUCUAACAAAGAGGAGAAGGAGAGGCUAAAACAUGAUUGGACAGCGGGCCAUUGUUGAAGUCCCUGGUCAACGAGGUGGCAAUGUCACAAUCUGUGCUGCUAUCAGCAACUAUGGUGUUCUACAUCACCAUGUUACACUCGGGCCAUAUAACACCCAGCACCUUCUAAGAUUUAUUGCCAAUCUAAGAGAUAUUUUAUUUGAGCAGCAGGUUCAAAAGCAGCAGGGUCAAGAGCUAAAUGAGAAUCCCAUUCCCACCUAUGUGAUAGUGUGGGACAAUGUCAGGUUCCACCGAGCAGCUCAGGUAAGGGAAUGGUUUAACAUUAAUGGGCAGUUUAUGAACUUGUACCUCCCUCCGUACUCGCCUUUCCUGAAUCCGAUUGAGGAGUUUUUCUCCUCUUGGAGAUGUAAAGUGUAUGAUAGACAACCCUACACCAGAGUAAAUCUGCUGCAAGCCAUGGAUUUAGCCUGUGGUGAUAUAGGUGAGGAAUCAUGUCAGGGCUGGAUACGGCACACAAGAGGCUUCUUCCCCCGUUGCCUCAGGAGGGACAAUAUCGCUUGUGAUGUCGACAAAGUGCUCUGGCCUGACCCAGCCCAAAGACAAGAAGAAGCACAUU